rnacentral:rRNA from 1 species
GACGAACGCUGGCGGCGUGCUUAACACAUGCAAGUCGAACGAUGAAGCCGGAGCUUGCUCCGGUGGAUUAGUGGCGAACGGGUGAGUAACACGUGAGCAAUCUGCCCUUGACUCUGGGAUAACUGCGGGACACUGUAGCUAAUACCGGAUACGACACCUUGGGGCAUCCCAGGGCGUGGAAAGAAUUUCGGUAAAGGAUGAGCUCGCGGCCUAUCAGCUAGUUGGUGAGGUAAUGGCUCACCAAGGCGACGACGGGUAGCCGGCCUGAGAGGGUGACCGGCCACACUGGAACUGAGACACGGUCCAGACUCCUACGGGAGGCAGCAGUGGGGAAUAUUGCACAAUGGGCGAAAGCCUGAUGCAGCAACGCCGCGUGAGGGAUGAAGGCCUUCGGGUUGUAAACCUCUUUUAGCAGGGAAGAGGCGAAAGUGACGGUACCUGCAGAAAAAGCACCGGCUAACUACGUGCCAGCCGCCGCUGUAA